rnacentral:rRNA from 1 species
GAGUUUGAUCAUGGCUCAGAUUGAACGCUGGCGGCAGGCCUAACACAUGCAAGUCGAGCGGUAGCACAAGAGAGCUUGCUCUCUGGGUGACGAGCGGCGGACGGGUGAGUAAUGUCUGGGAAACUGCCUGAUGGCGGGGGAUAACUAGUGGAAACGGUAGCUAAUACCGCAUAACGUCGCAAGACCAAAGUGGGGGCCCUUCGGGCCUCACGCCAUCAGAUGUGCCCAGGUGGGAUUAGCUGGUAGGUGAGGUAACGGCUCACCUAGGCGACGAUCCCUAGCUGGUCUGAGAGGAUGACCAGCCACACUGGAACUGAGACACGGUCCAGACUCCUACGGGAGGCAGCAGUGGGGAAUAUUGCACAAUGGGCGCAAGCCUGAUGCAGCCAUGCCGCGUGUGUGAAGAAGGCCUUCGGGUUGUAAAGCACUUUCAGCGAGGAGGAAGGGUAAUGUGUUAAU